rnacentral:rRNA from 1 species
UAAUACGGAGGAUGCAAGCGUUAUCCGGAUUCAUUGGGUUUAAAGGGUGCGCAGGCGGAAUGGUAAGUCAGUGGUGAAAUCCCCCGGCUCAACCGGGGAACUGCCAUUGAUACUGCUAUUCUUGAGUACACUUGAGGUGGGCGGAAUGUAUUAUGUAGCGGUGAAAUGCUUAGAUAUGAUACAGAACACCAAUAGCGAAGGCAGCUCACCAAAUUGUAACUGACGCUCAGGCACGAAAGCGUGGGGAGCAAACAGGAUUAGAUACCCUGGUAGUCCACGCUGUAAACGAUGAUCACUCGCUGUUAGCAAUACACAGUUAGCGGCUAAGCAAAAGCAUUAAGUGAUCCACCUGGGGAGUACGACCGCAAGGUUG